rnacentral:rRNA from 1 species
UAGGGAAUCUUCCACAAUGGACGCAAGUCUGAUGGAGCAACGCCGCGUGAGUGAAGAAGGUCUUCGGAUCGUAAAACUCUGUUGUUAGAGAAGAACACGUAUGAGAGUAACUGUUCAUACGUUGACGGUAUUUAACCAGAAAGUCACGGCUAACUACGUGCCAGCAGCCGCGGUAAUACGUAGGUGGCAAGCGUUAUCCGGAUUUAUUGGGCGUAAAGAGAGUGCAGGCGGUUUUCUAAGUCUGAUGUGAAAGCCUUCGGCUUAACCGGAGAAGUGCAUCGGAAACUGGAUAACUUGAGUGCAGAAGAGGGUAGUGGAACUCCAUGUGUAGCGGUGGAAUGCGUAGAUAUAUGGAAGAACACCAGUGGCGAAGGCGGCUACCUGGUCUGCAACUGACGCUGAGACUCGAAAGCAUGGGUAGCGAACAGGAUUAGAUACCCUGGUAGUCCAUGCCGUAAACGAUGAGUGCUAGGUGUUGGAGGGUUUCCGCCCUUCAGUGCCGGAGCUAACGCAUUAAGCACUCCGCCUGGGGAGUACGACCGCAAGGUUG